rnacentral:rRNA from 1 species
AUACGUAGGGUGCAAGCGUUAUCCGGAAUUAUUGGGCGUAAAGGGCUCGUAGGCGGUUCGUCGCGUCCGGUGUGAAAGUCCAUCGCUUAACGGUGGAUCCGCGCCGGGUACGGGCGGGCUUGAGUGCGGUAGGGGAGACUGGAAUUCCCGGUGUAACGGUGGAAUGUGUAGAUAUCGGGAAGAACACCAAUGGCGAAGGCAGGUCUCUGGGCCGUUACUGACGCUGAGGAGCGAAAGCGUGGGGAGCGAACAGGAUUAGAUACCCUGGUAGUCCACGCCGUAAACGGUGGAUGCUGGAUGUGGGGCCCGUUCCACGGGUUCCGUGUCGGAGCUAACGCGUUAAGCAUCCCGCCUGGGGAGUACGGCCGCAAGGCUAAAACUCAAAGAAAUUGACGGGGGCCCGCACAAGCGGCGGAGCAUGCGGAUUAAUUCGAUGCAACGCGAAGAACCUUACCUGGGCUUGACAUGUUCCCGACGGUCGUAGAGAUACAGCUUCCCUUCGGGGCGGGUUCACAGGUGGUGCAUGGUCGUCGUCAGCUCGUGUCGUGAGAUGUUGGGUUAAGUCCCGCAACGAGCGCAACCCUCGCCCCGUGUUGCCAGCGGAUUAUGCCGGGAACUCACGGGGGACCGCCGGGGUUAACUCGGAGGAAGGUGGGGAUGACGUCAGAUCAUCAUGCCCCUUACGUCCAGGGCUUCACGCAUGCUACAAUGGCCGGUACAACGGGAUGCGACGCGGCGACGCGGAGCGGAUCCCUGAAAACCGGUCUCAGUUCGGAUCGCAGUCUGCAACUCGACUGCGUGAAGGCGGAGUCGCUAGUAAUCGCGAAUCAGCAACGUCGCGGUGAAUGCGUUCCCGGGCCUUGUACACACCGCCCGUCAAGUCAUGAAAGUGGGCAGCACCCGAAGCCGGUGGCCUAACCCCUUGUGGGAUGGAGCCGUCUAAGGUGAGGCUCGUGAUUGGGACU